UCUCCAAAUGCGUGUGCGCAGCACACCCGCUCUCGCCUCCGCCAGCAGUGCGCUUCCCUUCGAGUUGUCGUAGCAGCUCUCGGUGCGGAUUUCUAGCUUCUCACUCCGAUACAACUCGAGGGACGACUUUUCUUCUGCGGCUUUCCGCCACGCAGCUGCCUCUCUCUGUCGCACCUGACUCCGUGUUCCCCUGCCCAUUGAGUCCCCCUGCUGCUUCGACCGCGUGACUGCAGUUGCCAGACUCGAUUCGCAAACUGUGUGGAUGCGAGUGGAGGAGCAAGGCGAUGACGGUGAUGACGGUCUUUAUUCUGUGGGUGAUGGUGAUAACGUGACGGCGGGCAGUGCGACGGGAAGUGUGUCGAGGCGUCGAGUGCUCCUUCAGCUUCUUGCGAUGUGACCGAUAUCUUGCACGACAGCCACUUUGAACCACUGCUUAUCGUGUGAGAACUUUCCUUGUGGAGUUUAAGCGGUUGUGCGGUUGAAGGCUCUGCUCAUUCAAGCCAGAUUUGAGAUUUUGUCAUUGCUCCUGCCAUCCCCGUCAUGAGUACCAACGACCAUAACGCGUAAUUCCAUGCUUCAUGCUGCACCUUCAGAAUCACAUGGCCCACUUGCAAGAAGCUCAGAUCCAGCAUUGGACAUUGCUGUCCACUACAUCAAGCCCUUAAGGUGUGGUGGCCGUGAAUCUUCUGUAGUAGUGUCGACCUUGCCAGACGAUUUGACGUCCUAGCUUUGGCGCAGCAAGUUGGCGAGCCGCAUCUGCUGGACAGCUUAUCAGUCUGCAUGUGGUACAAUGCCCUUGCCCAGAGGCCCUAUUCUGCACCUUAGAGAAACUGCUGCUCAGUGUUGUGCCUAUUGCACUGCUUGCUGUGUAUGCAGCACCCAUGCAUCGCUGGCACAGCCCUCAGGGAAACAUGCAGGUGGCACGCCUUCAAGAGCUGGCCACUGCUCACGGGGCCAAAUUCUAUGCGAUACCACCCACCGUGCGUCUACGGAGCAGACCUAAUGAAGCAUAUUUUGUGUGUGAAUCCGGCGUCCCGGAGGUGUAAAUAAAAGUGUUCUGGAGGAAACAAA